UUUUCCUCAUUUGACACUAUGUCAUUGAAGACUCCAGCAGGUAACCAUCUUUCUCUCCCUAUUCCUUUUCUUGCCUGGAUCACUUUCCACUAAUGUUUCCUAAUUUAGUAAUCACAACUGGCAUAUACUCACACAAACCACCAUUCACUCUUAUUCUCCUGAUCUUCCACUUGAGUUUCAAUUGUGAAUGCUGCCAUCAACACCCUUUUGACUUUAAUUUCUUUCUUCCAAAAAAAGAGCCAUUCCACCUGCUUUAGUCAUGAUCUCAACGAUAAUUGCUUCAUCAAAUUUCAGGAUAUUUUUUACUUUCUCCAUUUACUUACUUCUAUUUUUAAUUUCACACAGAAACAUCAUAUUUGGAGAGGAGAGGUUAUUCACCUCUCUCAAUUGGGGAAUUGUUAAGAGGCUUCCUACUCAUUGACAACUCCACACCAGGACACUCAUUUAUUUCUAGGGGUUCACAUUAGGUUGGAUCCCUCCCCCUCUGUCUCAGCUUCUAUUGAAUCCUCUUCCAUAGCAUUCUUGUUUCCUCUUCCCAGUUUGUACCUUGUCCUCAACAUUCUUCAUGUCCACAUCCAACUAGUUUACUUUCCUUUUCCCUUGUGUCUUUUUCUUGCUGUUAUUGGUACAUAGUUCUUUUACUGGUUGCUUUGUUUUAUUUGGGGACUUCAAAAAUUUCAGGAUCCUCCUGCUCUGUUUUACUACAGCCCCUUGCAUUUUUAACUCCAUGAGUCCAUUCAUGUUCAUUGUUUUCAAUUUUGUCACCACUUCAUUAGUUUUAUCAGUCUGAGGGUAUUGUGCAGUUACAUUGUCACUUUCUUCUUCCAUCAUCUGCACCUCUAUGUCUGCUCCUUCCAUUCCGUUGUCUUUGGUCUGCUUAUAUUCCCCUUCUUCACAGGCAUCUCCCCUCGUUUUCCUUGUAUUUUGAGCAGUCACACUGUUUGUGUCUACCUUGCCCUCAUUGUUGGCCUUCCUAACUGUAUGAAUGCUGGGUUCUUCCCUGCCAUCCCUUCUUUGAUCUCUUUGGAUUUCCUUUCCCCUUAUCACUGUUCUUUUUUUCACCCUUUGUGCUUUUGCCUUUGUCAGGAAUGUUGAUUGUAGGUCCUUCUUGUGUCAAUUCCUGAAUGUCUGACCUUUCCUUUUCCUUCCACUCAUCAUUUUGAAUCCUCCAGCAGUGUCUCUGUGGAUUGUGAAUUGAGGUGGAUUGCUUUGUUUGUGGAGAGCCUUUCCCAUGUCCAGCCCUUAUCCAGAUUCCAUACUGAUUGUCUUUCAUUCCUGCCCCUACAAUGGGAUGUAGGCUUGAUUUGUUCCUACCAAAAUUCACUCAAAAAAGUGAAAAGGGAUUGAAGGUGAUUAUUUUUUAUUUGUUAGGAACUAAAAUUGAUCAUCUUUGUUUUGGAGGACUAAAUUUGCACAUCAGCGAUAUAUGAAGGAUGAUUGGUGUAAUUCUUCCAUCUUAAAAAAAAAAAAAAAAAAACUCUUUAUUAUUAGUUACUCCUAUUAUUAGUAUUUUUGAGAAAAAAUUGCAACAAUCACGUCUCACGCAUCAUUUCACUGAUAUGAAAAUUUAGUCUUUUAAAUUGAAAAGUAGCAUUUUGAUCCCGAUCACUUUUUCGAACAAUUUUGAUUGGAAUAAGUUACGAGCGCAUCACAUGACCAAUUUUUAAAGGGUAAAUAUGGCGGAUCGUUCCUUCGUUCCUCUUCCUCUCUUCUCCCCCCAAUCCCCUUUCAUUGAAUAAGGCAG
rnacentral:lncRNA from 1 species